AAAUAACCAGCCUCUGAACAGUGGUCAUGACCUUUACCUAUUGAGCACAAAAUGUCAACAGUCACAGAUAAUCCCACUGAUUAAUGAAGAACAAACAUACACAAACAUUAAAUUAUGACUUCCUCCUUUUCUUCUCUUCCCCUUUCCAUGCAGGGUCCUACCUCUUUCUGAACACAUAUACAGAUGUCAUGUUAAUAUGAAACAAAGAAAAAGAAACAUCUUUGUUCAAACUUUGCAGGCUCUGUCGACAGUUUAAUUUAUGACAGCUAAAUAGCAGUAAUGUCUGAGGAACUGUACACUAAGCCUGGCAGCGUCACGGCGGAUCGCUGUGAUCAGGACAUAACGGAAAACAAAGUGGACAUUUAUGUCAGUGCAGAAAGUCUGAGAGUGUACGACAGUCCCUGGAUGGAGAAUGCAUCACUAAACUCAGCAGGAACUGAACACACAGGGUCUUUUGUCAGAAAAAUCUCUGUAAGGAGGAAUCCCAGCAGAGGUGAAAUUUUUCUGUGUGUGCUGUGUCUUCUCCUCCUGAUUCUUAUCAUCUGGCUCACAGUCAAAAUGAAUAAAGACAAAACCAGUUGGGAACUAGAGAGAGAACAGUUAAUGUCCACUCCAGACAAUGAAGGAUCAGUUAACAGCAAACAACACUGAACUCAGCAAAGAAAGAGAUGACAUGCGCAGGAGGCUCAGCAAAAAGACUCCACCUGGAAAACAAUGAAACUGAAAACACUUCAGCAUCGCACACCGGCACCCACGUCCCAGCCCAGGUCCCAGUCCUGGUCCCAGCCCUGGUCCACAUUGCCUGCACCACAGCGGAGGAGAAGCAAUCCCCUCGGGAACAGGAACCAAAGGCUCCUCCACCUUUGGUUCCUGUCUCCAAGUGGGUCUUUCCUCCUCCGUCUCUGGUUCCUGUCUCCGAGUGAGUUGAUUCUCCUCCGCCUCUGGUUCCUGUUCCCAAGGUGUCCCAUAAAGGGUUGCUCCUCCUCCACCUCUGUUUCCUGUUUCAGAAGGUGUCCCAGAAAAGGAUGUUCCUGCUUAGUCUCUGGUUGCUGUCUCAGAGUGGGUGCUGCUGGACUCCCGUGCCUUGGUUCCUGUUCUUGUGCCUGUGGGGUAUGCUGCUCUCAGGGCAUUCUGUGGCUCACCAGAGGUGUCUCAGCUCCUCUGUCCCUUGGUCUCUGGCCUUUCAUCCAUGGGAUCUUUGCCUCGCUGGCCACUCUGGGCUGUCCUGCCACACCAGCUCCUGUCAUCACGGCCUCCACGCCGCUCCGGCCGCUGGCUGUCUCAGCUGCUUCUGCCUGCACUUCGGCCGACCUCCAGAACAUUCCCUCCUGUCUGCCUGGCCGCUGGCUGCUCUCCAGAGAACAGUUUCGUGGACUGCUUUUGUUUUUUUUGUUUUUUUUGUUUUGUUGUCUUUUUCUGGUAGGAUGGGUUGGAUCAGAUAUUCCAGCACCUGUCCCAGUUUUUGCCAGUGGAAAUGCAAAAAAGAUGCGUAUCAACUUGUCUUUUAUCAACCCAGAUCGAUUGGUGGAAACUGGUCUUUAGUUGGUAGCAAUUAGAGAGGUUUUUAAAAAAAAAACUUUUUUUCUCAGUUCUAGUGCAGUGCUAAAUUUUGCUGUCUACAUAAGUAAACACCUUAUGGAAAAAGUGAACUCGCAGAAUUAAGUAGAUUAAUUACAUUAAUUUUGAUUACAUUAAUUUUUACAAAACAUGAGAAGUGUUUGCAGUUACAUUGUAGGACAGAUGGCAUUUCUUGAUUUUGUAAUUGAACCUGUUUAAAAUGUUUCUCUGUCUCAGGUACCAACGGGUUAGAUAUGUUACAUCAACCAACCAAAAAAAUAAAUAAAUAAAAUUUAACUGACAAGUUAAGAUGAAGAUAAAUAUUGGAGGAAUAUUCUCUUAUGAGUUGUAUCAGCAAGGAAAGGGUUUUUCGUCUGUUUUCACAUUUGGUUUCAGAUUUAAAUACCUGUUACAUCAGCAUUUUUCUCUUACAAAUGUUUACAUAUUACACAUAACAGCUGAUUUGUCAGAAACUUUAUUGAACAUUUUUAUACAAAUAUGUGAAAUGUGUUUUUGGAUUAAACUACAGCUUAACCCUGAACCCUUUCAAGAACGCUGUCAAGACAUUGGGACCCUCAAAGUCCUGACUCCAAUCUGGACCGCGAGGCAUGUCAAUUUAAGUUUUGAAUUAUAAAACGCUAUUAUCCUAGGUUUUGUUCAAAGUGAAUCUUGCAUAAAUAAAUAAAUAAAUAGUUUAUAAUGUUAAAUAAAGUGUCAAUGGAUAUUAUUUACAGCGAUCUAGUGAUAACAACUGUGUUGAAGUUUUGCACUGUAUGGUGACAGCCAAUGAGCAGAGGGCUACUAUAAAUGACAGGAACCAGUAGCCUAUCAGUACACAGGGGUGUGUGACGUUAGAACCAAUCAGAAGCAGAGUAGGGCGGGCAUUUGGAUCAGCUCCGUUAGCAGAAAACCAAAGGAAGCCCAGUGCUUCAAAAGUGCUCACAACUUCAAAAAGUUCCAGAACUUCAAAAGGUUCCUACAGUUGGAAAGCCCCAAGAUGACUCACUUUGAAUGAGAAAGGAUGCCCCUGUCAAAGUUUUUCAAGAAGAGAAAAGUGGACCCAGAAAACAGGGAGCUUGAAGUAUGCCUUCAUUUUUCCCGAAUGUAGCACUAAGCCAGUGUGUUUGAACCAUUGCUUUAAUGCUAAUGUAAAACGUAAUUAUGACACAAAGCAUUACCAUUUCAAAACUGUUCUGUUUUUUACUUCAAAUGUCA